AUAUUCUGCCCUAUGAAUAUUUAAAUGGCUGCAGUAUAUUGACUGUACAAAGGUAGCAUAAUAAUUAGUUUUUUAAUUGAGGACUAGAAUGAAUGAUUAAAUAAAAGAUUUAUUUUAUUAUUGUAAUUUUUAUAAUUUAAUUUUUAAGUAAAAAAGCUUAAAUUUGUUUUUGGGACGAAAAGACCCUAUAGAACUUUAUUUAUUUCAUAAAAACUUAUUAUAAGUAUUUUUUUGUUUUUAUGUUAUAAAUUUAAUUGGGGUGAUUAGUAAAUUGAUCUUUACUUUUAUAUUUCAUUAAUUUAUGAUUUUAUUGACUUAAGGAUUUUAUUUGAAGAUUUAGUUACCUUAGGGAUAACAGCGUAAUUUUUAUGGGGAGUUCAUAUCUAUAUAAAAGUUUGCGACCUCGAUGUUGAAUUAAGAUAAGUUUUUGAAGCAGAAUUUAUUAAAACUAAGUCUGUUCGACUUUUAAAUUCUU
rnacentral:rRNA from 1 species